UACGUAGGAUGCAAGCGUUGUCCGGAAUCACUGGGCGUAAAGGGCGCGUAGGCGGCUCAUGAAGGCUGUGGUGAAAGUCCGGGGCUCAACCUCGGAUCGGCCGUGGCGACUCGUGGGCUGGAGCACUGUAGAGGCGGGUGGAAUUCCGGGUGUAGCGGUGGAAUGCGUAGAGAUCCGGAAGAACACCAGUGGCGAAGGCGGCCCGCUGGGCAGUGGCUGACGCUGAGGCGCGAAAGCGUGGGGAGCAAACAGG
rnacentral:rRNA from 1 species